GACGAACGCUGGCGGUGUGCUUAACACAUGCAAGUCGAACGGUAAGGCCCUUUCGGGGGUACACGAGUGGCGAACGGGUGAGUAACACGUGAGUAACCUGCCCUCAUCUCUGGGAUAACAGUCGGAAACGGUUGCUAAUACUGGAUAUGAGCUUGCAAGGCAUCUUGUGGGUUGGAAAGAUUUUUUUGGUUGGGGAUGGACUCGCGGCCUAUCAGCUUGUUGGUGAGGUAGUGGCUCACCAAGGCUUCGACGGGUAGCCGGCCUGAGAGGGCGACCGGCCACAUUGGGACUGAGAUGCGGCCCAAACUCCUACGGGAGGCAGCAGUGGGGAAUAUUGCACAAUGGACGGAAGUCUGAUGCAGCAACGCCGCGUGCGGGAUGACGGCCUUAGGGUUGUAAACCGCUUUCAAUUGUGACGAAGCUUUUUGUGACGGUAGCAGUAGAAGAAGCACCGGCUAACUACGUG
rnacentral:rRNA from 1 species